GGGCAGGCCUGGCAGGCUCCAAUUCAAGGCUUCUAACAACAAACCAAGGCUUUCAGAAACAAAAGUGAUGAUGGAAGAUGGCAGUUUCAUUCCUUCCAUCAUUAACACCCCUACAGCUUUUCCACCUACUGCUUGGAGCUGAUCCAGAGAGGAGAUGAGAGCCGCUGGCCCUGUCUGUGAUUCUGGGGGAGCUCAUCAUGCCGGCUUCACGGUGCAGCAUCAGGCAGAGCUGCGCGGGACUGUUGGUAUUGAGCAGGGAGGAGCGCCCCGGGCAAAAUCCAUCAAAAAGGAGCUGUUUGCACUGUGGGAAUAGACAUGAAUAAUCCAUGCUUUCUUUACCAUUUCCUCAGUAACUGUGUGUAUCCCAUUACAUUCUCAGUUGCCUUUUCUUCAAAUAGCCUAACAUUGUGUUUGUAUUAGCGUUUUUAGUGAAUAGUGAUAUUUUUUAAGUAUGAAGAAUUUAUCCACAUAUUUUUUGGGGGCAGCUGACUUAAGUAUAUGACAGGGG
ensembl:lncRNA